GUCGUUGUAGUAUAGUGGUGAGUAUCCCUGCUUGUCACGCGGGAGACCCGGGUUCGAUCCGGCAACGCG
rnacentral:tRNA from 1 species